CCUACGGGUGGCAGCAGUAGGGGAUAUUGCACAAUGGGGGGAACCCUGAUGCAGCAACGCCGCGUGGGUGAAGAAGCUUUUCGGCGCGUAAACCCCUAUCGGCAGGGAAGAAGAUGACGGUACCUGACGAAUAAGCACCGGCUAACUACGUGCCAGCAGCCGCGGUAAUACGGAGGGGGCAAGCGUUAUCCGGAUUUACUGGGCGUAAAGGGGGCGUAGGCGGCAAAACAAGCCAGAAGUGAAAGCCCGUGGCCUAACGACGGGACUGCUUUUGAAACUGUAAGGCUGGAGUGCAGGAGGGGUAGGUGGAAUUCCUAGGGUAGGGGUGAAAUGCGUAGAGAUUAGGAGGAACACUAGUGGCGAAGGCGGCCUACUGGAAUGUAACUGACGUUGAGGCACGAAAGUGUGGGUAGCGAACAGGAUUAGAUACCCUAGUAGUC
rnacentral:rRNA from 1 species